AAAUGAUACUGUACCCUAAAGUGUUAGUAUCGACUCAAUCUUCUCAACUUCCAACACGCCGAAAAUGAUAUUCAAGCUUGCCAGUUUGUGGAUUGUAGCAUUGAUUCUGAUAGUAUGUUCUAUCGGUGGUACCUGUGGUCAAACGGAGAAUGAAAAGUGUACAGCGUUAGAAGUUUCAAAUACAAAAUUUGUAUGCAAGAGCGAAUGUGGAGCUGGUGUCGAAUCACUCGUUGGAACGUGUGGCGCUGGAUAUAAGUGUUGUUUCACUGGUCACUUACAGAUCCAGUUUCAUAUUUUGUAGCCGGUUCGGGGCAAAUUCGUAGCCCAGUCAAAUAUUGAAAAUUGAAAUUGAUUGAUUUGAAAAAUUAUUAAAAGUUGGCAAGUGUUCAGUUCAGACAUGA